rnacentral:lncRNA from 1 species
ACAUUGAAAAAAGCUUUUUAAUAUCAACCCCAUUAUUUAAAAAUGUGCAAGUCUUUGUUCAUGUCAUAUCAAGUGAUGAAAUAUUACCUAAAUAUAUUUCUAUCACCAUAUCUGCGUGUUUAACCCCCAGAUUUAUCCAGAUCAAUUAAAAGUGAAUGUGACAAACGCGAGAAAAAAACCCCGAACAAAACAAAAACAAAACAUCGAAUUUGUACAUCCCACAGUUUGAUUUUCAGAGAAUUGUAAGAUUGAUCGAUUAAUUCAAGCUACAGAAGAAAUAUGAUCAAUGCCAUGACCUUUUUUCUUGAAAAAAAAAGUAAGAUUAGGCAAGCUGCUUCCAAAUGAGAAGAACACAAGUCCCUGGAUACAAUUUGCAUAAAAUGAAACAAAGCUACGGAGAACAAGCCAUAUGGGUAUCAGAAAACAUGUAUAUACACGUAGCAUUGACGGUAUAGGCUAUGGCAAUCCCGCUGAAAUAAAAAAUACUAUCUCUCCCCCCUUAUGACUAGCCUAUGUUCCAUAAGCCUUUUCGAUGGCAUUUAUAUAUCUAUUGUACUUUGUGUCAUCUAUAAAAGUCGUUAUAGAAUAAAUUACAAUCUCAACAACAAAAUAAUAAAAUUAAAGUAUUUGAUAAUUAUUCCCAUAUCGCAAUGAUACCAAAACAAAAGAAAGAUGGCAAGGAUUAAAUAAAAUCCUCACCUAUGAUAAAUAAUAAAAUAAUAAUAUAUUAUUCUUAUUAUUAUUAUCAUUAUUAUGUGGUGCCAGGUGACUUGUUUUUGACAAAAGGCCUACGUUGUUUUUAAAAGUUGAUAUAAAAUGUAGGCUACUUAAAUAUCUAUUUCCUUUUGUAAAGGAAUAAUACAUCUUUUAAAUAAAAUAUAUUUCAGGGAGCAUAUCGCCUUCCUUUGCCAAUCUGUGGGCUGAUUCAUUAUUUCGUUGCCAAUCAAUUAGAACAUAAUUACUUAAAGCAUAUAUUUGAUUCAAAAAUAUGUCAGGUGGACAUUAUUGAAAGCCAAUGACAGGACAACAUGUGAAGUCAAUUCUGCCAAUCCAAUUGAAUUCACAUCAAUGAAAUGCCUCUGAAUUUAACAUAAAAUGCGUCUCAAACACAUUACACUGCAAACAACAAGCAUAAUUUCAGCUACAAAUAACUUUAAAUAAAAAUACAAGGUAGGCUAUUGAAACCUAAAAUUGUGUCAAAACCAUUUGGAAUAAAAAAAUAAACAGCUAAAACCUGUUUUUGUUUUGAAAACACCGAAAGAAAAAAAGUGCCUCAGUGAGAAGGAACUAAGCCAUGACUGUUUAGUUAUACAAUAUUUACAAAAAUGAUCACAAUGUUCUGUGAAACUUGGUGAUAUAUCUUGCUCUAGAAAAGUGCCAGGUUACCAUCGCCACGUAGCCCUUCCGUGACCUGACUGCUAGCUGCUGGCCGCGUGGCGUGGAGCGGAGCUCAGUGUUGGCAGCCUUUUGUGUUUAGAACCGCACGUGCUGAUAUCAUUAAGAGAACGAGGAGGAUGAUGUGUUCUUGAGUGCGUUCAAACGGAAUAUCAAAACCAUACGAUUUAUGUGGUAUCAAUUAUUCAAGGAGGUCCUUCGAACUGCUCUUGCCAAUAAUAAUAAUAAUAAUAGGGAUAUAACAAGUAACAGGCAAAAGAAUAAAGCUUUUUCGCCCAUAAUAAUUUGCCUAAACGCCUCAAAGCAAUGUUGAAUGUCAAAACUAACUGGAAAAAUAUGAUUAUCAACCCUCACACAUUGCUCAGCCGAUGCUCAACCCCAGCUGCAUGUCUGGGACAGAGAAAUGGCGUUUAGGCUAUAUUUGACGAAUGCAGCUCUCAUUACUUUUCGUGUCGGACCCACAUGUCCAGAACAAAACAAUGAUGAUUACGCAGCGCCAUGUGUUGAAUACACUAGAAAAGUCGAGAACGUAAACCAUUUUAGCUAAGAAUCUCGAGGCUAGUUUUAAACGAUAAUUCCCUUUACGCCAAAUAUUUUUCACAAUAGGGCUACACCUUGAAACUGCGUCGAGUCACAUUGCAAGGCAUAUCCCCGAACAUGUGUUCUCUUAGCUCUUGAAGAAAACAAUUUCCACUCCAUUGCUAAUGAUAUUUGGGUUUUGAAUGGUAUUCAAUGCAGAUAUUGUGUAAGUAGCCUGCUCAUGCCAUAGGCUAGGCUAUUAUUAUACAGAAAACACCCACUAUCGCUCAUAGUCCAGUGAAAUAUAUAUCAUUUUCAGGAUAAAUCAAAUCAGGAAAAGUCUAAUACUGGUCCGUUAUUGUUCAUUGAACCGGUGUUUGGACUCCAUGAUGUGGCGGUGUGUCCCCAUACACAUCCUCGGUUCCAGGAAGCGGUCCACCGGGAGGAGUCAUCCGUUUCUCUUUCUGUCUCCUGUUACAAAACCAAACCCUCACCACCUCUUUCUCCAGCUGUAGACCGUCCGCCAGGGAAGUAAUUUCCGCCGCUGCGGGUUUAGGACACUUCAAGAAAUGGGUCUCCAAAGCCCCUUUUACGCUUACCUCGAUAGAGGUCCGUUUUUUCCUUUUCCUCCCUUGUGCAGCGAUUUUGUCCAAGCUGGUUGGACUGCCCGAGGUGGAAUCCGCUUCUUCCAACCACUUGUUCAACAAAGGCUUGAGCUUACACAUGUUUUUGAAGCUGAGCUGCAGGGCCUCGAACCUGCAAAUAGUGGUUUGGGAAAACACAUUUCCAUACAGCGUUCCCAAGGCGAGUCCGACGUCAGCCUGAGUGAAGCCCAGCUUGAUCCUCCGCUGCUUAAACUGCUUGGCGAACUGCUCCAAGUCGUCCGAGGUCGGUGUAUCCUCGUCCGAAUGGUCGUGGUGACUCUGUUGCUGGUGCUGGGACGCCUGGUGGCCGUGAUCGCUGAGAUGCGGACUGUGGUGGUCUUCGUGUGCGUCUCUUAGGUUGUGGUGGUGCAUCCCCUGUCCGCUGCCUGGAAUCAGGCCGUUGACGCCGAAUCCGGGCUGUGAAUAAAUAAGGCUCUGGCCAUUGGAUGUUGCCAUGCUGGGUAUGUGGGCUGCGGUAGUUCUCCACGCUCGGGCGUCGUGGUGGUUCCCAUGCGACUGGUGCACCAGGUGGGGCGGUCGCGGCUGGUGCUGGUGCUGCAAGUUGUUGGAGCUGUGCAUCUCGUCUCUGGUGCCCUGCACCGCGGGUUUGAUGUCCUGGUCGCCGAGAGGACUGGUUGACCACGGAGCUCCCUCUCCGUGCGACAGUGCCGUUAUCCACUGGUGCGCGUGGCUGAGCGGGUGACUGUUGCUCUGCAAUGAGUAGUCACUCUGCAACAGGGUCUGCGCGUCCCUGUACGCCGAUGCUUGCUGCAUGCUCCCGGGCUCCGAGUGCACAAUGGAUGCGCUGGAGGCGUCUCCCAGGCACUCUGCCAAGUGGACGCAGCGGCGCGCACCUGCACCCCGCCUCGUCCAGCUGUUCAUUGGACAGAAAUGGCUGAUGGACGUGGUUGUUACUGGCAACAGCCCUCUCAUUGGACGUUGCAGAGUCUCAACAAACACUACCCCUUUCUAGAGAACUGCGAGUUAUGCUGCGGCACCUCUGAAACGUGAGAGACCGAGUGCGGCAUGGAAAACGGAAAGGGGUAUAUGCACUGGCCGAGAUUUUCAAUGGAACUGUAAGGCAUUUACUCAUAUUAAUACGAUAAUGUUUUAAACCAAUAUAUGAAUAUCGUGAUUACAGAUCAUUCGAGUGAUGCAUGCUUCAAAUGCUUUUGUGAAAUUUAUAUUCGAAUACGGUUAUAAAUCUUCGUCUAUUUAUUUUGAGUAAAUUAUGUUUGUAUUUUAUUGUAUUUUAUUGUACUUUUACUUUUUCAGACAUUACAUGUUAUUCAUACUUACAAUAAUUGUGUGGGCAUUCUCAUAUUUUGGACGUUCAGUGUUUUGGGCGAAAACUUUUUUACUUCAAGGAUAAAGUUUUGUUUGAGGUAGUAGGCCUAUAGCUGCAGUUAUUCGGUUUAUACUAUGAGAUUUGAAAUGCAUCCCUUGAUAUUGAAUAGCCU